rnacentral:rRNA from 1 species
AGAGUUUGAUCCUGGCUCAGGAUGAACGCUGGCGGCGUGCCUAAUACAUGCAAGUCGAGCGAACAGAUAAGGAGCUUGCUCCUUUGAAGUUAGCGGCGGACGGGUGAGUAACACGUGGGUAACCUACCUAUAAGACUGGGAUAACUUCGGGAAACCGGAGCUAAUACCGGAUAACAUUUAGAACCGCAUGGUUCUAAAGUGAAAGAUGGUUUUGCUAUCACUUAUAGAUGGACCCGCGCCGUAUUAGCUAGUUGGUAAGGUAACGGCUUACCAAGGCGACGAUACGUAGCCGACCUGAGAGGGUGAUCGGCCACACUGGAACUGAGACACGGUCCAGACUCCUACGGGAGGCAGCAGUAGGGAAUCUUCCGCAAUGGGCGAAAGCCUGACGGAGCAACGCCGCGUGAAUGAUGAAGGGUUUCGGCUCGUAAAACUCUGUUAUUAGGGAAGAACAAAUGUGUAAGUAACUGUGCACAUCUUGACGGUACCUAAUCAGAAAGCCACGGCUAACUACGUG